AGGACGAACGCUGGCGGCGUGCUUAACACAUGCAAGUCGAACGGAAAGGCCCUUUCGGGGGUACUCGAGUGGCGAACGGGUGAGUAACACGUGGGUGAUCUGCCCUGCACUUUGGGAUAAGCCUGGGAAACUGGGUCUAAUACCGAAUACACCUUGCUGGCUGCAUGGCCUGGUGGGGGAAAGCUUUUGCGGUGUGGGAUGGGCCCGCGGCCUAUCAGCUUGUUGGUGGGGUGAUGGCCUACCAAGGCGACGACGGGUAGCCGGCCUGAGAGGGUGUCCGGCCACACUGGGACUGAGAUACGGCCCAGACUCCUACGGGAGGCAGCAGUGGGGAAUAUUGCACAAUGGGCGCAAGCCUGAUGCAGCGACGCCGCGUGAGGGAUGACGGCCUUCGGGUUGUAACCGUCUUUCAGUAUCAACGAAGCGCAAGUGACGGUAGGUACAGAAGAAGCACCGGACCAACUACGCGCCAGCAGCCGCGGU
rnacentral:rRNA from 1 species